CCUUAUCUUCAACGAGUGUCGUGGAAUUUGGUGUGGUAGUGUCGAUACCAAACCGAGAGGAUAAACUCGCUCUCUUUAUCUUUUCUUCUUCUUUAUCCUUCGUUCUUCUUUUUCUUCUUCUCUUUCGUUCUUCUCAUGUUCCUCUUCUUCUGCGAGUUCGAGUGAUGAAUUUCAUAGCAUGUUUGAGAGUUCUUGAUUGAUGAAACUAUUCUGAUGAUGAAGGAUGUAUUGUUGAUGUUGUGAUCGUUUGAUCCGAGGAGAAGAUGGGGUUGACACUGUUGUAGUUGAAGCUAGGGUUCGAGUGGAGAUUCAUAUGAAGAACUGGAAGAUGAAAUCGAGGGUUUAAGUGACGGAUUAAAGAUAGGUUUUUGAUUGAUUUGAAGUAUUGAAGUUGGUUCAGUGAAGAAUCGAAGAGACAUGGUUUCUGUUCUUCAAGAAAUAGAGGAUUAGGGUUUUGGGUUCGAUUUUAGGCUUGCAUGGGAUUGAUAGAUGAAUUGAGGACUGGGUUUAGAUGAUUGAGGAAUGGGAUGGAGUUAAUUGGUUGAUAUGAGCUAUUCGUGAAGAAUUGGAGAAAUUAGAGUUUAUGUUCUGUUCUUCCCCAAAUUAAGAACUAGGGUUUUGAGAAUUGAAUAGAUGGUUUAGAAAGGAGAUGGGGUUGUAUUGAUUUGUUGGAAUCAGAAGAAAGAAGGGGUUGGUUUCAAAUUGAUUGAGACAAGUUGUUUUGAGAUUUAUGUGUAUGAAACUGAAGGAGGAAUCAUUACACUGGACUGGUGAUUAAGACAGUGAAGAGCUGGAGAUGUUGGAUAUGAAAUGGAAUUACAGUUGUAUCUUGUUGAACUGGUGGUGCUUAAAUGGUUAAGAUGGACAUGGUGAUGUUGAUGUGAGAAUUUAUGAAGUUAGGGUUGAAUCUCUGGUUUUAGUGUGUUGGUGUGAAGUAGUGACCUUGCAGAACAGUAAAUGGUGAUGAUACUAUUUGGUGGAGUGAAAGAUGAGAACUGGAAUGGUGGUGAUGAUUGUGUUAGUUUUGAUAUGUGGAUUGCAAGUGGCUGCAUCUGAUGAUGGGUAUUGGAUGUGAGUAUGUAUGUCAAUGGAGGAGGAUGAAUUGAUCUCACAGAAUGAGAUGUUGCAGAGAAUGUGUGUGUUAUCUGUGUUUUGAAUUAGCUGAGUUAUUGUGGUUGAGUUAUGGGAAUCACAGGGAUGAGUAUAAAAUGGAUAAGUUAUAUGUGAGUUGCGGUUAAUGAGUUUGGUAGUGAUGUUGUUUAUCUAAUAAGAAGGUUGUUGAAGUGUAGAUAAGAAGAGGAAUCUGAAUUAGUUUAUGUUGAAUUGAAUCUCUUCAAUGGAAGCUUGCUUCUGCUACUUAAAGGUAAGCUGAAUUUGUAUUUGAGAAUGAAUUAUGAAGUUGUAUUGAAUUUAUACAAUUGUAUUUGUAUGAUUAGUAUCUGUAAUGAUCAGAUGAAGUUGUUUUGAGUAGAUUGAAGUUGAACUUGA